rnacentral:rRNA from 1 species
UUUUCAAGCCACACAAUUCCUUACUUUAUUUUUAACCCUCCCACAGUACUGAGUAAUUUUAUACUAUUAUAAAAAAUUUCAUGUUGAAACUAGUAACAAGAAGAAAGAACUUCUCUUAAAUGCAAGCAUAAGCCAUAAAGGACCAACCACUGACAAUUAACGCCUAUGAACAUAUAUUAGCAACCCUACAAGAAAAACCUAAUUCACUUCACGUUAACCUAACACAAGAGCAUUUCAAGAAAGAUUAAAAGAAAAAGAAGGAACUCGGCAAAUAUUAACCCCGCCUGUUUACCAAAAACAUCGCCUCUUGAAUAAACAUAAGAGGUCCAGCCUGCCCAGUGACUAAUGUUCAACGGCCGCGGUAUCCUAACCGUGCGAAGGUAGCGUAAUCACUUGUUCUUUAAAUGGGGACUAGUAUGAAUGGCACCACGAGGGUUAUACUGUCUCCUUUCUCUGAUCAGUGAAACUAAUCUCCCCGUGAAGAAGCGGGGAUACAGCUAUAAGACGAGAAGACCCUAUGGAGCUUUAAAUCUCUUUUCAAACGCUAAAAUACUUAUACAAGUCCCAGACUUACCCUCACACUUACCUAGCGCCAUGAAAAUGAUUUUAGGUUGGGGUGACCGCGGAGCACAAAAAAACCUCCACGCUGAACUAGACGUCCAAACCUUGAGCUAAGGGCUACGACCCGAUGCACUAAAAAAUUAACACCAAUUGACCCAAUAUUUAUUUGAUCAACGAACCAAGUUACCCUAGGGAUAACAGCGCAAUCCAUUUCAAGAGUCCAUAUCGACAAAUGGGUUUACGACCUCGAUGUUGGAUCAGGGUCUCCCAGUGGUGCAGCCGCUACUAAUGGUUCGUUUGUUCAACGAUUAAAACCCU